UGGUCAAGUUAUUAAGGGUGCAGGGCGGAUGCCUUGGCACUAGGAGCCGAUGAAGGACGUGAUAAGCUGCGAUAAGCUUCGGGGAGUUGCACGUAAACUUUGAUCCGAAGAUUUCCGAAUGAGGAAACUCACUUAGAGUAAUGUCUAAGUAUCAUUAAGUGAAUACAUAGCUUAAUGAGGGGAACUCAGGGAACUGAAACAGCUAAGUACCUGAAGGAAGAGAAAGAAAUUCGAUUCCGUAAGUAGCGGCGAGCGAACGCGGAUUAGCCAAAACCAAUAAAGUUUUCUUUAUUGGGGUUGCGGACAUAUCAUAACGAAGAGGUAUCGUA
rnacentral:rRNA from 1 species